rnacentral:rRNA from 1 species
CACGCAGGCGGUUGGUCAAGUUCGGCGUGAAAGCUCCCGGCUCAACUGGGAGAGGUCGUUGAAAACUGAUCGGCUUGAGGCGAUGAGAGGGUACGGAAUUCCCGGUGUAGUGGUGGAAUGCGUAGAUAUCGGGAGGAACACCAGUGGCGAAAGCGGUACCCUGGCAUUUGCCUGACGCUCAUGUGCGAAAGCGUGGGGAGCGAACG